rnacentral:rRNA from 1 species
AAUAAAUAUUAAUAAAAAAAUUUUUAAAUUUAUUAAGUAUUUUAAUGGGGGUUAAAGUAUUUUAAUAGAAAAAAUUUAAAUUUUUAUAGUUAAUUAGUAUUGUGAGAGAAAUUUGAAAUAAUUAUAAAAUAUAAAUUUAUUAAAAAGUAAUUUUUAUUUAGUGUAUCUUGUGUAUCAGAGUUUAUUAAAAAUUUAUUUUGGUUAAAAUUUUCUCGAAUUUAAAAGAGCGAAUUAAAUAUAAAAGUUAUUGUAGUAAAAAUAUUUUUAAUAUUUAAUUUGAAAUGAAAUGUUAUUCGUUUUUAAAUAUAUCUAGUUUUUUUAGAAAAAAAUUUAAUUUUAAAUUGAUUUUUAAACAUUUAUAUUUUAUUAAUAAAUUUUUAAGAUUAAUUUUAUAUUUUAAGGGAUAAGCUUUAAAUUAAAUUAAUAUAAUAUUUAAUUUAAUAUUGAAAAUUGUAUAAUUUAUAUUGUUAAAAAAUUUUAUUUUAUUAUAAAUAAUUUCAAUUAAUAUAAAAUUUAAUUAAAAUUUAUUAUUUUAUAAGAAAAAUAUAUUUAAUAAUAUAAUUUAAGUUAUAAUGAUAAAAUUAGUAUAAAUUUUUAUUAAUAUUAUUAAAUUUAAUUUAAGGUAUUUUAAAGGAAUUCGGCAAAAUUUUAUAUUCACUUGUUUAUCAAAAACAUGUCUUUUUGAAAAUAAUUUAAAGUCUAAUCUGCCCACUGAUUAAUAAUUAAAGGGCUGCAGUAUUUUGACUGUACAAAGGUAGCAUAAUCAUUAGUCAUUUAAUUGAUGACUUGUAUGAAAGAUUGGAUGAAAUAUGAACUGUCUUUAAAUUAAAUAUAGAAUUUAAUUUUUAAGUUAAAAAGCUUAAAUAAUUUAAAAAGACGAGAAGACCCUAUAGAGUUUUAUUAUUUAUUUAAAUUAAUAUUUUUAUAAUUAGUUGUAUUUAUGUUAAUUUUUAAUAAAUAAUUUUAUUGGGGUGAUAAAAAAAUUUAAUUAACUUUUUUUAAUUUAAAAACAUAAAUAAGUGAAUAUUUGAUCCAUAUUUUAUGAUUAUAAGAAAAAAUUACCUUAGGGAUAACAGCGUAAUUUUAUUUUUUAGUUCAAAUAAGAAAUAGAGUUUGCGACCUCGAUGUUGGAUUAAGAUAAAAUUUAAAUGCAGAAGUUUAAAAGUUUUGAUCUGUUCGAUCAUUAAAAUCUUACAUGAUCUGAGUUCAAACCGGUGUAAGCCAGGUUGGUUUCUAUCUUUUAAAAAUAAAAAUAUUUUAGUACGAAAGGAUUAAAUAUUUGAAUUAUAUUUUUUAAUUUGAAUUUUAUUAAAUAUAUAUAUAUAUAUAUAUAUAAAAAUUAUUAUGGAUUU